UUAGAACCGAUGAUGGGGAAUAGUAAUUAAGAUUACACAUGAAAAGAGAGGAAAUGCCGCUGGCUGAAAACAUUUCCGCAUGUGCCUUAAUGAAAGAACACUCCGUAGGCUUCGCUCUGAAAAGGAGGAAUCCCCCUUAGUAGGAGAUGAACGUAAGCAGGCGUUAACUGUACUUGAGCGGAAGCAUGCUAGCAUGCUUCAAUUAGGGUGGCACCACGGGAAUACAACUCUCGUCCCUUGU
rnacentral:ncRNA from 1 species